GCCCCUGUAGCUCAGAGGAUAGAGCGCUGGCCUCCGGAGCCAGGUGCGAGGGUUCGAUUCCCUCCAGGGGUGCCA
rnacentral:tRNA from 1 species